CUUCUGUUGAUUUGAGAUUACAAGAUGAUGAAAUCAUAAUUGUAAGAUUGGAUAGCUCUUGUUUUUAUUUCUAUGAGCGAGAAAAAUUGUCUGUUAUUAUCAUUUGCAUGUUAUUGUGCUCUAUUCACAGACAGGGGAGCUGAGGUAGAAGUUUUGCUUUAUCACAACUGACCAGACAUUAUCAAGGUGUAUACACUGUGUGAACAAGUCAGCCCUCCUUUAUUUUAACAGCUGGCAUAUUCACAAAGCUAUGACCUGAAUGAUAAAAAUGAAAAUAAAAAAAAAAAAAGUGAAAGAUGUAUCCUAGGUGUCCUUAAUAAAGAGCUGUAAAAAUAUUGGCUGACUGCAACCUAUGACUAUAUUUAGAUAUAUGUUUCCCUGAAGAAUGCAAUCACCAGGCAAAAAUAUUAACAGUUGGUUUAUGGUGUUGAUGUUUCCCAUUUAUUUUCUCAUCCAUGUGCAUAUGGAAUAGGACAAACAAGCACCUGGGAGAAGAGUUGGGGAUAGGCUGAGGAAGGGGCUUUGUGUCCAGGUAGAUUCCAGGGUAGUGGCUCAGCAAGAGGGUACGAGACACUCUCCCCACCCAGGGAAAUUCUGGGAGAAGAGAGUUACCCCCUGCUGCCCAAGGUUGUCCUGCUCAGGCAGUACAGACACACAGACAGAUUAAACUGAAUCUUUCCCCUGGCCUUUUUCACCUGGCAAAAAUUCCAGCAGCGGCCAACCGGCACUUGCCUGAGAAGGCGCUUCUGAGGGACGCACAGGCCUGUGCCCCAUGCCCAGGCCUGCUGGGGGGACAGCACUGUACAUCCAGAGCCUGAAAGGAAAUGUGUCCCUGGAAUAAACACAGCACAGCUUCACCAGCGUGCAGCCAUCAGCACAGCAUGCCAGGGUGGACACACUGGAGCAGCACAGCAGUGUUGGCAGCCGUGGGCCCGGCGCUCCUGCUGCCGGCCCUGCCAGCACCGGGCCCCGGCGCGGCCCGGCACUCGCGGCCCGGGGGGCACAGCCCUGCAGCAGCCGCCAUCCAGAAAAGGUGCCAGGGAACGGCUCUCUGGCACGGAUGGUGGGCUCUGCCUAGCCUGCAGCAAUGAACAGGGAUGGGAGCUGGGAAAGUGCAAAACAUGCCUAAAAUCUGACAAAUUAUGCAGGAGACUUCCCAGAAGAAGUACCUGGAGGAGACCUUUGGAGACUCAUCCACUCAUGCUUUGGAAGGCUGUGUGCUCAGUCAUUGAAGGGAUUGCAGGGUUGCUACAACAGGAGAGGACAG